rnacentral:tRNA from 1 species
AACGGGGUGGCCGAGUGGUUAAGGCAAUGGAUUGCUAAUCCAUUGGGGUUUCCCCGCGUGGGUUCGAAUCCCAUCCCCGUCG